rnacentral:rRNA from 1 species
UACGAAGGGGGGCUAGCGUUGCUCGGAAUCACUGGGCGUAAAGGGUGCGUAGGCGGGUCUUUAAGUCAGGGGUGAAAUCCUGGAGCUCAACUCCAGAACUGCCUUUGAUACUGAAGAUCUUGAGUUCGGGGAGAGGUGAGUGGAACUGCGAGUGUAGAGGUGAAAUUCGUAGAUAUUCGCAAGAACACCAGUGGCGAAGGCGGCUCACUGGCCCGAUACUGACGCUGAGGCACGAAAGCGUGGGGGAGCAAACAGG